rnacentral:tRNA from 1 species
UAUUUAUUAGCUCAAUGGUAGAGCGGUCAGUUUAGCUGGCGGUCAUCGGUUCGAUUCCGGUAUAAAAAA